CUGUGUCUGUCUCUCUGGCACCGUCUUGGUUUAUUCCUACUCAAUAUCGUUAUAUGCCAUAUUAUACACUACUCUUGUUCUCGAUUAGCGAUUUAUUGCGAUUUAUUAUUUCAUUAUAACUACGAAUUACGAUGAUGAUGAUGACAUCACAUUGACACCGCACCAGUGUAGCUGACGCCGACGUGUGAGGUACGUAUACCGGCUAAUAUACACGAUUUCGUCAGUGACGGUGGCGAAUCGUGAGUUAUUGUAAUUUCUCGGUAUAAUAUGCAAAAUCGUGUUCGCGAUCCACCCAAAGCCGGCCAUGUUUUGGAAAUGCAAGCACACACACACACACACAUAUAGAUUUCAAAAAAUUGUAUGAAAAAGCAGUUAUUGGCAUGGACAAAGAGAGUAAUGUAUGUAUACAUUUAACACAGGUAUUAAAAGUUGGGAACGUCCAGAGAUGAGAAUCAAAAUUCUAAAUAUAAUGAAUUUCAAUAAGGAAAUACAAAUGCAUUGAGCAUUUAUCACAUAAUAUUUGCACCAACAAUUGCAGAUUCAUAAAACAACACAAGAAAAUGUCAUCAUUAUAGAUACCUAUGUCAUAUAAACGAGUGACAUUAAAUUAAACAACAAUCUAUAACUGCUGAAAGUUUUAAAUAUAAACACAAGUAAUGAAAGAGUGAAGUCGAUUUUGGGUAAAAUGAAUAUUUUAAUGGACUUCAAUGAAUACUACCAAUUGUUUAAUCAUACUUUUUACAUUGAAUCAACACAUUUACCAUUUGUAUUUCUAAGUUGUAGAUUUUAAAUAAUAAUAAAAAAAAUCAGAUUUUUUGUGUCUGAGACAUAGUUCCAGAUUGUAACACAUUAUAUACUAUAUCUCAGCUCAAACCUGUUAAUUUUAAUUAGUAAGCAUAAACAUUUAUGAGAUAACUUUUUAUUCAAAAUAUAAAUUAAUUAUAUUUACUUCAAAACUAGUGUUACUCAUUGAUUAUUAUCACUUAUCAGUUAUCUAAAAUAAUCACCCAUAGUGCAUAACAUAACAAUAAUAGUUUAAUACAGAUCUUUUUAAAAACAAAUACAUGAAAAAAUAGACAUUUCGAAAUAUAGUUUAGAAUUGAGAAAGUAAAUAAUGUAUUAUACGUGUGUAUACAAUAAAAUGGUUAUCAAUUUGAAUACAUGCCAAUAUGAGUCAUUUCUUUUAGUUUCCAAAUCAAAAUAAAAAUUCAAGGUUAGGUUGUCUUUAAGUAAGAAUAUAUUAUGAAAUCUUUAUUCUAAUUAAUGUUAUUAAACUUACAUUAUAAUAUUAUAAGUUAUUUGAGAAAUUAUAUUUAAAUUAAAUUUAAGUUUGUUUAAUUAAGUUCAGACAUCUGUUUUGCUCAUCCAUACUUUAGUUAUCAAACUUUAUGAAUAAAAUACAUUUUACAAAAUCUUUAUCUAGUGUGAAAGAAAAAGAUACAGCUUAUCUCACAUUUAAACCAAAAUUCAGAAAAAUUGAUACCUACAGAUAUUAUAAGAAAACUUUGAAGAGCUAAAUAAAAUGUUAUUUUAACAGUAAAAAAUUGUUGGGUAAGAAUAGAUUGCUCAAAACAAUCUAAAAUAAUUCAAAAAACUUCCUGGUCCUAAUUAUAAUAUAUAUUAUACACAUACAUUUUUCUCAAACAAGUUGCCAUGAUUAAUAAUUUCAUAAUAAUUUAAUCUUAUUCUACAUUAAGGCUGAUGCUCAUUUAAUUUGAUUCAAGUUAAAAAAUAUAUUUUUAAUUUAUUAAAAAUGUAUACAUAUUUUGGUUUUAGAUUUUGAGAAAAGUGAUGAAUCUAUUGAUUUACAAUGAUGUUUAAACACAUAUAUAUUUUUUGUAUAUUUCAAUAAAUUAAUCAUGUUUAGGAACAAUACAUUGAUUUACGUAAUUUCAAUAAAAUGAAGUAAUUUGAAUCUACUAUUAUUAGAAAAUAGUAGGUA